AUCUAUGACCAUACCACCCUGAACAUGCCCAAUUUGAUCUCGGAAGCUAAGCAAGUCUGGUUAGUACUUGCAUGGGAGAUUUGGAGUUUGAAGUUUCUACUAAAGCUAUAGUCC
rnacentral:rRNA from 1 species